rnacentral:lncRNA from 1 species
GAGGUGUUCCCGAUUUCCAAAAAUCACAAAAUUUAAACUGGAGCCUCCUCAAAUAAAUUAGAUUUGAUCUGGAAAGUUUUGGCAAAAAAUUCAACCCAGAUAAUAUUUUAUUAUUUUUCUCUUUUUUCGUAUUUUCUUUUUUUUUUCUAUACUUUUUUGUCACUUUUUUGUGGGAAAUAUUUUUUUUAUACUCUAAAAUAG